AAGCCGUGGUUUGGGCAUUGGUUAGUGUAGCUUCUAAACCGUUCCCAAGCUUCACUAAAGCUCUCGUUAUUGUGCUGCGUGAAACUUGAGAUCUGAUUCCUGAGCUU
rfam:Eutrema salsugineum unplaced genomic scaffold scaffold_16, whole genome shotgun sequence.